CGGGUAUAGUUCAUUGGUAGAACGUCAGCCUUCCAAGCUGAAUAGGUGGGUUCGAUUCCCACUACCC
rnacentral:tRNA from 1 species